UACUCGGAUAUCCAGGGGGUGCUAGAGCGCACCGAUGAUGCAAGUAGGAAAGGGGGAGCAGUAGGGUAUUACCUGAAGUCAGGCAUAGCGAUGAUAACUAGUCGCCGCGACAUCGGGUCAGGCGGAGCGGCGAACACAUUUCUUAUCUCCUGACGAGUAUGGUCGCAAGAUUAAACUCAUGGGGUUGAUGGGAGUCUGCACAAGCGGUCGAGCGUGUGGUCUAGUUCGAAUCAAUUCGUUGAAGCUUAAUCCCGCUGACGUACCGGUCACGAUGAGAGCAGACUCUUUUCUUCAGUUCGGCUGAACCGGUGACAGGUGCUGCAUGGCUGUCGUCAGCUCGUGUCGUGAGAUGUUGGGUUAAGUCACGCAACGAGCGCAACCCUCGUCCUUAGUUGCCAUCAUUCAGCUGGGCACUCUAAGGAAUCCGCCGGUGAUAAGCCGGAGGAAGGUGGGGAUUUCGUCAAGUCCUCAUGGCCCUCAUAGGCUGGGCCACACACGUGCUACAACGGCUGUGACAGUGGGCAGCGGACUCGCGAGGGGGAGCUAAUCUCUAAAAGCCGUCUCAGUUCGGAUUGUUCUCUGCAACUCGAGAUCAUGAAGGCGGAAUCGCUAGUAAUCGCGGCUCAGCAUGCCGCGGUGAAUACGUUCGCAGUCCUUGUACACGCCUCCCGUCACACCAUGGGAGUUGGUUCUACCCGAAGAUGGUGCGCUAACCUUUUAGGAGGCAGCCAGCCGCGGUGGGUUUCGCGCCUUGGGCGAAGUCCUCUAAAGGUAACCAACGUCGAAUCGUUUAACCCUGCAGGACUAUCCCACUAACAUCGACAGCCAUC
rnacentral:rRNA from 1 species